GUGAGGAAUAUUGCGCAAUGGAGGCAACUCUGACGCAGCCAUGCCGCGUGCAGGAAGAAGGCGCUACGCGUUGUAAACUGCUUUUAACCGGGAAGAAACCCCAGGACGUGUCCUGGGUUGACGGUACCGGAGGAAUAAGCACCGGCUAACUUCGUGCCAGCAGCCGCGGUAAUACGAAGGGUGCAAGCGUUACCCGGAUUCAUUGGGUUUAAAGGGUGCGUAGGCGGAGCGUUAAGUCAGUGGUGAAAUCCUGCAGCUUAACUGUAGACUUGCCAUUGAUACUGGCGCUCUUGAGUGCGCUUGAAGUGGGCGGAAUGUGCCGUGUAGCGGUGAAAUGCUUAGAUAUGGCACAGAACACCAAUUGCGAAGGCAGCUCACUAAGGCGAUACUGACGCUGAGGCACGAAAGCGUGGGGAUCGAACAGGAUUAGAUACCCGGGUAGUCC
rnacentral:rRNA from 1 species